GACGAACGCUGGCGGCGUGCUUAACACAUGCAAGUCGAACGGAAAGGCCCUGCUUUUGUGGGGUGCUCGAGUGGCGAACGUGUGAGUAACACGUGAGUAACCUGCCCUUGACUUUGGGAUAACUUCAGAAAACUGGGGCUAAUACCGGAUAGGAGCUCCUGCUGCAUGGUGGGUGUUGGAAAGUUUCGGCGGUUGGGGAUGGACUCGCGGCUUAUCAGCUUGUUGGUGGGGUAGUUGCUUACCAAGGCUUUGACGGGUAGCCGGCCUGAGAGGGUGACCAGCCACAUUGGGACUGAGAUACGGCCCAGACAGCUGCGGGAGGCAAUAGUGGGGAAUAUGGUAAAAUAGGCGGAAGCCGGAGGCAACAACGCCGCGAGCGGGAUAACGACCUUCAGGUUGUAAACCGCUUUCGCCUGUGACGAAGCGUGAGUGACGGUAAUGGGUAAAGAAGCACCGGCUAACUACGUG
rnacentral:rRNA from 1 species